CCUUGGGGCUGCCCUGGACAGCGCAGCAGAGGACAGUGGUGUAGCCAGCGAUGACUGGAGCGGUUCGCCAGGGGCUGGGUGAAGCUUGGGGGCUCGGAGAAGUCCAGGGCCUUGUACGUGGGUGGCUCAUAGGUGAUGCCUGUAGGCGACAGCACUUGGUACCGAGAGGGCCACCCAGACCAGCCUCUGCUCCCUGCACCGCUCCCUGGGCUGGGGGAGGGUGCGGCACCUGGUCUGGGGAUAAAGACAGGCUCCUUAGUGGCGUUGCCUGGACACUGGGCCCCACCAUGUUAUGGCUGAAGACCGGAAGUAGUAGCCGUUGCCCAUGAUGAGCUCGGGACACCACGCAGUGGGUGCGGUGGUAGUGCUCUAGGACGGUGAACCACUCCUGAGAGCGGAGCAAGCAGGUCUCCUGUACCUCUGUGCCCUCCUGUGGGAGCCUGACCGGCAGAGGAGGCCUGGGGGUCCCUGGGAAGGACGUGGGGAGGGCAUAGGGGUUCCCGCUCACCAUGGUCUUCUUGUCAGGCCUUCUGCACUGAGUACCCCCAGAGCUCGGUGUUGCCGUCGUCCCUCAGGUGGCUUCCACUCCAGGGCCACAUUGAAGCCCCAAGUUUCGGUGACCCGGAGGUGCUGGGGAGGACUCGCUUGUCUGUGGAGACAGAGCUGGCUGGAUCCCCACCCUUCCCUGGGCAAGAGCCGUGGACAGAUGGGGCCCUCCCCACGCCCGGGCCACGCACCCACGACCUGCAGCAGCAGUGUGGCUGAGUCCUCCAUGUUCUCAACGCGCACGGUCACCUGGUAGCUGCCCGAGUGCGCGCGGCGGGCGCGCGGAUGAACAGGAUGGUGUCGGAGGGGCUGUUGCGGAUGCUCACGUCCCCGUCGCCCAGCAGCUGCCCCUCUUGAUCCAGGUCACCUGAGGCCGGGGCUUUCCCUACAGGUGGGGACACUCAGCCCCAAGCCUGGCUGACCAAGCCUGACGCAUCUUGCCACCACCAGCUGGGCACCACCUACCUGGAAAGGGAUGGGGGAGGUUCACGGGCUCCCCGACCUGCCUCUGGAUGGCCUGGGCGCAGGUGCCGGGGCAGCUGGAGUCUCGGCCGCUCCUGAGGGACAGAGCGGUGGCUGAGCGGGGCCUUUCCGUGCCCCAGCCGCUCCCUACACAGGCCUGGCCCUGCUCACCCACGCAACUCCAGCUGCCCAGCCCCAAAGGUUGGCGAAGGUCCUGCCUCCCAAGCCUCCCACACCGCCUCAGGAGGCAGGGAUCAGAGAGGGUAAGCAGCUUGUGAGAGGUCACACUCAUGGCCAGUGUGCGGGUCUGGGCGUUCAGUCUGAAGCCCUGUGCCCUGUGUGCCCACCUGGAGAACCGGGCCUUACACGCUGGAUCCUUUGUUGGGACAAGGACUAGAGAGCGGGGAGGGGAUAGGGAGAUGACCAGUGCUGUCCCCAAGAGGCCUCCGCUUGGCCCCGCGGACUGGACAGGACCUGCCAGUUGGAGCUGAGAGACUCUCGGGACAGCGCGGAAGGGCACGGCCUGUCUCCCCAGGUCAGAACUGGGGACUGGCACGGAAAACCGGCGCACACCCAGCGGGGUGACCAGGGCACUCACGCAGAAUCUCCUGCACCGUCACCGCUCCUGGGUGGCCACGGGGGCCCCGGGCCCGGCCACAUUGUGCGCACGCACGCGGAACCUCAGCCUGGCGCCCGUGGGCAGGUCCUUCACCAGCAGCGCCGUGCGCUCCGUCCCAGCCCCUGCAGGGUGGCCACCCACUCGGAGCCUGGGCAGGGGAGCGGGGGUCAGCGGAAGGCACCAUGGGGUGGCCUGGGGUCCCGCCCCGGCGCGGCCACUCACAGCCCUCCCGGCAGUACUCCACGCUGUAGCCAUCCAGGCCGCCGCGCCCACGCGCUCCGGGGCGCCACUUGAGCGGAGACGGUCGUGUCCGGGACGUCGCCCACGACCAGGUGGGAUGGCUCCGCCAGGAGGCCCUGGGCGGGGGGACAGCGGGGAGGGUCGGAGGGAGACUGGUCCGGCCGGCAGGCGGAGGACCCAGGACCCGGCCCUUGGCUGCCCGCAGGCCACUCAGGGAGGACAAGACCCAAUGUCCCCUUCCCGAGGUCUUUCAAGCACCUCCAGAAGUUUGGCUGGCCGAGCCACAGUGGCGCACGCCUGUAAACCCGGCACUAUGGAGGCUGAGGCAGGAGGAUCGCCAGUUCAAGACCAGCCUGGGCUACAUAGUGAGUUCAAAACCAGCCUGGGCUAUAUAGUGAGUUCAAGGUCGCCCUGAACUACUUAGUGAGACCUUGUCUCAAAAACAAACGAAAAAAGGAAUAGUUGGCUGCAUCAAAAGACUUGUCUCUAAAGCCGGGGAGGCGGCGCAGUCCUGUAAAUCCCAGCACCUGGGAGGCGGAGACAGGAGGAUGGCCCAGCUGGGGCAAUUUAGCCUGACUCAAAAAUUUAAAAAUAAAUAAAUAAAAGCACUGGGGAUAUAGCUCAGUGUCAAGGCCUUGGGUUCGAUCCCCAGCACUGCAAACACGCGCUGAGCGCCUGCGGCCAGAGCCCCGCCCGCCGGGGCCCUCACCUAUGGGCAUGAAGGGCCGCGAGGCGGCACUGGGCCGGGACACGCCCACCGCGUUGACGGCGUAGACGCGCAUCUCGUAGGCCACGCCCUCGAUCAUGCGCCGCGCCUCGAGCCGCGGCUCGGGCAGCAGGUCGAAGUUGAGCCGCAUCCAGCGGUAGCUCUGCUUUUUCUUGCGCUCCACGAUGUAACCUGCAGGGCAGCGGCGCUCAGGCCGGGCCGCGCCGGCGCCUGCCCCCGGCCAGCCCGCCUCCCUGCCGGGACUCACCCAGCACCGGCUGCCCGCCGUCGAAGGCCGGUGGCGCCCACUGCACGGUGCAGGAGUCCUCGCCCACGUUGCUGAUCUCGGGGGCCGGAGGGGCAUCGGGCACGUCUGGGGGACACAUCAGCCGCGCUGGGCCCGCACCCCAGGGCCCACUGCCGCGCCCAGCCCCCGAAGCUGUCACCCCCCCACACAGCUCUUCCCUCCGCACAGGAGCCACGGGAAAUGACAUUUCUGCCUCUGCCUCUGCUGCGGUGGGGGGUUUCUUAUGGGUAGAAAAAGCCCGUCCCAUUCGGUUACCGUUGCCCUGUGAUGUUUGUUGAGUGGCUAAAUGAGCACAUAGGUGGAGGCCUUCCCUGCCCCCGUGGACCCCCGGAUGGCCUCACCGAUGACCUUCACUGUGAGGUUGACCUGGAUCCUCGCCCACAGGGUUCUUCACAGUGACAGUGUAGACGCCCGCCGUCUUCCCCUCUCUGCCCCCUCCACGGUGAAGACGCACCGGUCUUUGGUGGUCUCCACCCGGACCCGGCCCUUACGGUCUCACACAGCAGCUGAAAAGGAGGGAGAGUUGGGGACAGGACCCAUGUUGGGCCCCAGAGCCCCCUGCUGCCCUGCAGCAGCCAGCGGACCUGAGAUGCAAGGGGAGGACAGGGCAGGAGGGGACCAUGGCCAUGUACGAGAUCUAGUUCAGAAUGUAUCCCAGCACUCGAGAGGCUGAGGCAGGAGGGUCGACACAAGUCUGAGAGCAGCCUGGGCU
ensembl:lncRNA